AACGAACGCUGGCGGCAGGCUUAACACAUGCAAGUCGAACGCCCCGCAAGGGGAGUGGCAGACGGGUGAGUAACGCGUGGGAAUCUACCCAUCUCUACGGAAUAACUCAGGGAAACUUGUGCUAAUACCGUAUACGCCCUUCGGGGGAAAGAUUUAUCGGAGAUGGAUGAGCCCGCGUUGGAUUAGCUAGUUGGUGGGGUAAAGGCCUACCAAGGCGACGAUCCAUAGCUGGUCUGAGAGGAUGAUCAGCCACACUGGGACUGAGACACGGCCCAAACUCCUACGGGAGGCAGCAGUGGGGAAUAUUGGACAAUGGGCGCAAGCCUGAUCCAGCCAUGCCGCGUGAGUGAUGAAGGCCCUAGGGUUGUAAAGCUCUUUCACCGGUGAAGAUAAUGACGGUAACCGGAGAAGAAGCCCCGGCUAACUUCGUGCCAGCCGCCGCGGUAACAC
rnacentral:rRNA from 1 species